rnacentral:rRNA from 2 species
AGCCUGAUGGAGCAACACCGCGUGAGUGAAGAAGGGUUUCGGCUCGUAAAGCUCUGUUGUUGGAGAAGAACGUGCGUGAGAGUAACUGUUCACGCAGUGACGGUAUCCAACCAGAAAGUCACGGCUAACUACGUGCCAGCAGCCGCGGUAAUACGUAGGUGGCAAGCGUUAUCUGGAUUUAUUGGGCGUAAAGCGAGCGCAGGCGGUUGCUUAGGUCUGAUGUGAAAGCCUUCGGCUUAACCGAAGAAGGGCAUCGGAAACCGGGCGACUUGAGUGCAGAAGAGGACAGUGGAACUCCAUGUGUAGCGGUGGAAUGCGUAGAUAUAUGGAAGAACACCAGUGGCGAAGGCGGCUGUCUGGUCUGCAACUGACGCUGAGGCUCGAAAGCAUGGGUAGCGAACAGGAUUAGAUACCCUGGUAGUCCAUGCCGUAAACGAUGAGUGCUAGGUGUUGGAGGGUUUCCGCCCUUCAGUGCCGGAGCUAACGCAUUAAGCACUCCGCCUGGGGAGUACGACCGCAAGGUUGAAACUCAAAGGAAUUGACGGGGGCCCGCACAAGCGGUGGAGCAUGUGGUUUAAUUCGAAGCUACGCGAAGAACCUUACCUGGUCUUGACAUCUUGCGCUAACCUAAGAGAUUAGGCGU